rnacentral:rRNA from 1 species
UACGUAGGUGGCAAGCGUUGUCCGGAUUUACUGGGCGUAAAGAGCGCGCAGGCGGUCGAGUAAGUCGACUGUGAAAGCCCCCGGCUUAACUGGGGAGGGUCAUUCGAUACUGUUCGACUUGAAGGCAGGAGAGGGCAGCAGAAUUCCCGGUGUAGUGGUGAAAUGCGUAGAUAUCGGGAGGAAUACCAGUGGCGAAGGCGGCUGCCUGGCCUGUUCUUGACGCUGAGGCGCGAAAGCUGGGGGAGCAAACGGG